rnacentral:rRNA from 1 species
AACGAACGCUGGCGGCAGGCUUAACACAUGCAAGUCGAGCGAGACCUUCGGGUCUAGCGGCGGACGGGUGAGUAACGCGUGGGAACGUGCCCUUCUCUACGGAAUAGCCCCGGGAAACUGGGAGUAAUACCGUAUACGCCCUUUGGGGGAAAGAUUUAUCGGAGAAGGAUCGGCCCGCGUUGGAUUAGGUAGUUGGUGGGGUAAUGGCCCACCAAGCCGACGAUCCAUAGCUGGUUUGAGAGGAUGAUCAGCCACACUGGGACUGAGACACGGCCCAGACCCCUCGGGGAGGCAGCAGUGGGGAAUCUUAGACAAGGGGGGCAACCCUGAUCUAGCCAUGCCGGGGGAGUGAUGAAGGCCUUGGGGUUGUAAAGCUCUUUCAGCUGGGAAGAUAAUGACGGUACCAGCAGAAGAAGCCCCGGCUAACUCCUU